UACGUAGGUGGCAAGCGUUGUCCGGAUUUACUGGGCGUAAAGAGCGCGCAGGCGGUCGAAUAAGUCGAAUGUGAAAGCCCCCGGCUCAACUGGGGAGGGUCACGCGAUACUGUUCGACUCGAAGGCAGGAGAGGGUAGUGGAAUUCCCGGUGUAGUGGUGAAAUGCGUAGAUAUCGGGAGGAACACCAGUGGCGAAGGCGACUACCUGGCCUGUUCUUGACGCUGAGGCGCGAAAGCUAGGGUAGCAAACGGG
rnacentral:rRNA from 1 species